rnacentral:rRNA from 1 species
UUGAACGCUGGCGGCGUGCCUAAUACAUGCAAGUCGAACGGGGUUGCAGCAAUGUACCGAGUGGGCGACCGGGUUGCGUAACACGUAGCUGAACCUACCCUGGCGCGGGGGACAACAGGGACGAAAGUUCUGCUAAUACCGCAUAGGCCCUGAGGGAACCAGAAACCUUCAGGGAAACUUUCCGGGGGCGGCUGGGCGGGGGCUGCGGCCCAUCAGGUAGUUGGUAGGGUUAGUGGCCUACCAAGCCGACGACGGGUAGGGGGCCUGAGAGGGUGGUCCCCCCACACUGGGACUGACAGACGGCCCAGACUCCUACGGGAGGCAGCAGUAAGGGAUAUUGCGCAAUGGGCGAAAGCCUGACGCAGCAAACGCCGCGUGGAGGAUGACGGCCUUCGGGUUGUAAACUCCUUUGGCUUCGGACGAGGAAGGGACGGUACGAAGCAAACAAGUCACGGCUAACUACUACGUGCCGGCAGCCGCGGUAAAACCGUAGGUGGCAAGCGUUUAUCCGGAUUUACUGGGCGUAAAGCGUUGUGCAGGACGGGGCAUCAAAGCGGUGUAUGAAAUCGCUCGGCUCAACCGGGCGCGGGGUAUGCCAGACUGGUGUGCUAGAGAGUGCGAGAGGGACGUGGAAUUCCGGGCGUAGUGGUGAAAUGCGUAGAGAUCCGGAGGAACCCCUGAGGCGAAGGCGGCGUCCUGGCGCACAUCUGACGUUCAGACACGACAGCAUGGGGAGCGAACGGGAUUAGAAAACCCCGGUAGUCCAUGCCGUAAACGAUGACGACUAGGCGCUGAGGGACUCAACCCCCGCGGUGCCGCAGCCAACGCGUUAAGUCGUCCGCCUGGGGAGUACGGUUCGCGAGGCUAAAAACUCAAAGGAAUUGACGGGGGCCCGCACAAGCAGCGGAGCGUGUGGUUUAAUUCGAGGCUACAGCGAAGAAACCUUUACCUGGGGUUUGACAUCGACGCUUCUAGGGGGCGCGAAAGCGUCCCGACCCGCAAGGGCGGCGUGACAGGUGCUGCAUGGCUGUCCGUCAGCCUCGUGCCGUGAGGUGUUUCGGUUUAAGUCCGGUAACGAGCGCAAACCCCCGGGGUCAGUUAGAUGCUCUGGCCCGACUGCCCGUGACAAGGCGGGAGGAAGGUGGGGAUGGACGGUCAAGUCAGCAUGGCCUUUUAUCUCCAGGGCUACGACACCACGCUACACAAUGGCCGGUACAAUGGGUCGCCAAGCCGUAAGGCGGAGCCAAUCCUACCAAAGCCGGUCUCAGUUCAGAAUUGAGGGCUGCAACCCGCCCUCAUGAAGUCGGAGUUGCUAGUAACCGCGCCGUCAGCCAUAGUGCGGUGAAUACGUUUCCCGGGGCCUUGUAACACCACCGCCCCGUCACGUCAUGGGAGCUGGUCACGCCUGAAGCCAGGCGGGCGAACCCGCAAGGCCGCACCUGUUCAAGGCAGGGCCCGGUGACUGGGACG